GUCAGAGUUGACUGUGGAAAAGAGUUUUAUCUGACAUUCAUCCAGGAAAAGAUGGCAGAACGCAGACACAAUCCUCAAAUUCAGCCAUACAUUCAGACACCUACAAGGAACCAUGUGAUAGAGAGAAUGUGGUCAGAGGUGAAUGCCAGAGUCAACUACCCUUUGAAGUCAGCUUUGGUACAGCUGGUGAACCAGGAGGAACUGGACAUGGAGGACAACACAUCCAAGUAUUGUGUGUCAGACCUGACAUGCCAGAUGGCUAGGAUUGGCAUCACAAAUGUCAUAGAGGCAUGGAAUGCACACAGGAUCCCAGGAAAGGGAAUACCAAAUGAACUGGCUAAAGAAGGGUGUCCUACAAAACUUCAAGAGGACCAUCUGCCUGUUGGUACUGUUGCUGCUGACCUUUAUCAGCAGGAAUUGUGAUCAGCCUUGAAAAGGGAAUCAAUUUUUGGAUGUGAUCCUUUCCCAUUUGAAGAAGCCCAACAAUGGACUGAAAAUGAGUUUGGUUCUCACUUUGACUUGUUACCACUACACCAAAAUGUGAUUAACCAUAACUAUGGCCCUUUUAAAGAUGCGGUUAUGUCUCUUAUUGAUAUCACCAGCUGUGUGUGACCUGUUACAAGUGACCUGCAAUGAUCAAUGAAACAGUAUACUGCAAAAAACAUUUAUUACAGAAACUGUAAAACCUGUUUCAAUCCAUAACAA
rnacentral:lncRNA from 1 species